CACGGAAGUCCGGCUACUUCCGCCUUCCUUACUCUCCUGCUGAGUUCCUAUUGGCUGCCUGUCUUAGACAGGCACUGAGCUCGCAGAGCUGGAACUCCGGGCGAGAGGCGUGUGUAUACCAGUGCGCCUGCGUUCGCUUGCGCGGCUUUUCAGAGUGUGCAAUUUUUCUCCGAGUUUUACCGCUUUUCCCGAAGGGGUUGAAUAGCUGCCUUGGUUAGUGGCGAGGCUCGGCAUAGUCAGUGGCUGUGCAGGGUGACGGUGUUUCAGUCUUAAUUAGCUCUCACUCAGUCUGGAUCAUGUGGCAACGCGCGAAUUCCUGAGUUCUGAUUCACUUGGACAGAGGAACCUGACAGGCUGCAGUCCAUGAGGUUGCAGAUAGUUGGACACAACUGAGUGACUAACACUCUAAUAGGUGCAUCUGCAGCUGUCAGAGGACAUCAUCAUUCAGAACUGGCUGGUAACCCUUUAAAAGCAACAACUAGGUGGCUGUUCUCCGUUUGACAACUGUUUCUGUGAAUGAACCCUGUUACGUUUUUUAUUAGGAUGGGUAUGAAGCAGGGAAUAAGCAGACAUUGGGCCUCAUAUAAGGGUCUGACCAGGUCUGAACAUCCAGAGAUCCAUAUCCUGCAGAACCCUGCUUCUCCCAGGAGUUCAUGGACCCUCCGAUUUGUGCAUUUUUCUUUGAUACCCGGUACCCAGCUUCCAUUAACAAGAAGACGAGGGCCUUUGUUCCCUCUAGACAUCGAGCCUGUGUUAUGCUCAAUGACCUAUUUCAGCAGGGCACGCUCUAACUCCUGUCCAGGAAAUUUCACGAAGUCAGUGGCCAAAGCUCUGCUGAAGAGAGUAGGGGAGUUCUUGAAACCCUGAUGAAGCCUCGUCCAAGAGAGCUGUUCAUUGUUUCCCAUGUGUGUUUUCCCAUUCAGGGGCAAAUAGUGGCUGGCUGGCAGGUGCAAGCUGGAGGCAGAAGAAGGCAUCUUUCAAGUGUGAGCAAGUAAACCAUUCAGCUGUGGAAGGGAUCAGUCCUAGUAGGGUGUACGGUUUAGGCACUGCUAGGUGCAGAGUAAUUGUUGCCUCGUUUACAGCUCUUAAGUCCUGAACCGGAUGGUAGUCAUGCAUUCCUGGCUUCUUCACGGGUAGUAGUGGGGUGUUCCAGGGUGAUUGGCAUUUCAUCAGAAGUCCGUGUUAGAGUAGUCUCUCUAAAUAAGGCUGGAUUCCCAGCCAGGCCUACCAGGAAAUCAGAUACUGUUGUAGUUUUACAGGCUGAGCUUCUGGUUUCAGAUCAGUCAGGAUGGGAGCAAGGGAUUUUGCCAAACCUGGAGCAUUUUCCUCGGCCCAAACUGGUGGAUACUGUCUCUGAUUGAGGAGGAAUGGUCCCUUCUCCUGGAAGGAAGAAAUACAGGCACCAUUCUUCUUCUCACCUUAUGGCAAGAGUCAUAAUCAAGGAGGGGGGUGGGCCUGCUAGCUUUAGGUGAGGUUACCCAUCAGCAGAAAAGGAAAUCUGAGCCCCCGUCAUAGCAAGCAGGUCUCUUCCCAUCAAGCAAAUAAGGCAAACAGGGCAGAUAGAGGAAUUCGUGCUCUACCUAAUGGCCCCCCAGUCAGCAUUGUCAAGGACUGCAAAAUGGCCUGCCAGUCUGGGUGCCUGUGGGUCUGGGUGCCUGUGCCCAAGAUGACGGUAGUUUCUUUUCCCGAUAUGAGGACUAUCUCCUGGGUGACCUCAGAAUGCUCAGCACCAGUGUCUACCAUAAAGUCCAUUGGAUGACCCCCUACUUGAAUUCUGACCAUGGGCUCUCAGGGACCCAGUUGGAGAGAAUCCAGUCUCCUCUAGUUGGAUCCUGCUUGAGCUAGCCCGAUCAGAUUAGUGCUGGGUGGCUCAGGUUGAUACCAGCUCUGUGGGCCUGCUGCUUUGGUUUUCUUCUCAGAGCGCCUGGGGCACUCAUUUUUCCAGUGUCCCUUUUCCUUGUAAUAGGCACACUGAUCGUGGCUGAGGGGAAUUGUCCUUUUCAGAUCUAGGCCCCUUGCCUUAUGGUGUGGUCCCACCGGGGGUGCAUGCUUUCACAGGCCAAAUGCCAAGAGUGGAACUUUUUGCUUCAUCCACUUUUUGCUCUUCGGUUGUGAUUGACAACGACUUUGUUGGCAAAGCAGUUCUGUGGCAUUUUUACCUGCAAACCCUUCUAACUUCUGUAAUUUUUUUUUUCUCAGAUGUCCGAUGGGGUCUGUCCCUGAAAGGCUGAAUUUGUUAUCUGUUGAUUUUCAGGGGUUUCAGGAUCAAAAGGGGUGAAAACCCAGAAGGCCUCACACAGCCUUUCGUAAAAAUCGUCCAGGCUUUCAUCUGGUUCCUGUAGCACCUCAGUGGUCUUUGCCAUGUUAGCAGGCUUCUUAGCCCUGUCUUUUACCCCCUGUAGGAGGGAGGGCCUGUGGAUAUCUCACCAACUGGUUUCUUACCCCCUCAGUUUUGAGGGUACCCCUCAGUUUGGGCUCUUCCUCUGGAAAAGUUCUCCCAAGCCCAGUUCUCCACAUCUAAUUGGGCCCCUGGGGUACUAGCCUGGAGUCAUUUUCUAGCCUUUGUCAUGACUCAUUGGCGUUCCUCUGUAUUGAAUAAGGUGAGGAGAUGCUGUAGGCAGUCUCCCCAGGUGGGGCAGUGGGUCUGGAAGAUGAAUUCUAAGACACCAGUCACUCUUGGUGACUUUCAGAACAUGAGGGGGUGUUUUGUUUCCCGUUAAAGAGAUCAAUCAUGGAAAAAGGCUGAUAGUAAAAAAUGGGUCAACACAGCAGAACCCGUGAGCUUGUUUGUAUCUCUUGAUGUAAUUGUACAUUUGUGGAGCCACUGUCCAGAGAUGUCACUGUCCAUCCUUUCCUCGUUCCUGUUUUGGACAGGGGUGCCACAGAGAUACAUUGACCAGUCUCCCCGAUUCUGUGGAUGCCUCUUGCCUCCUCUUCUUGUUCCUCCAAGUGUCAUGUCCUGUCACCUUCGUCUCUGCGUCUCAUGUGAGCCAGACACAUGCACACACACAGAAACACAUGCAAACACAGGUGACACAAACAUACCUGUGUAAACACACACGAGGAAGGCACAGUGACACAAACACAAACAGGGAAGGCCGGUGUUUCAGGAGCUGAAGAUGCCUGGGUCAAGCAAUGUGGGAGAUGGCAUCAGUAGGCACCGUGUCCUGCCCUUUUGGGAUCCCUGUCCGUUUCUUCGCCCAGCUGUUCAGUAUUAUCACCAGCCAGCCUUAAGUCAUUUCUGGCUUUUCCUGUGUGGUGGUGGUGAGAGCGAGGUCAAUCGGUGGAUGUGGAAAUUCACAGAAGACCCCAAAAUCAGCACAAAAGGGCCAAGGGACAGUGGAAAGAAACGCAUUCCAACUGGUGGUGCUUUCCAGGAGGAAGGGCGAGACUUAAGGGCUCAGGGGAAUCUUAAACUCAGUGAGCAGCAGGAGGCCUGGGAGUGGCCAACCUGGGAAAAGAUGAUUCUGACAAAGGCGCUUGAUUCACCCUGCCACUAUCAGAAUCACCUAGGGCUCUCUCAUCUUGUAAUCACAGCUUCUUCGAGUAAUGCUUGGACACACAAAGUCCCCAAGCCUCCAGUCUCAGCUUGUCACUUGCUACCAGUAUGCCCCAAAUCCAGGCUCCACAUCCAGCCUGCAUGAGCCUGAGCAUCCCCAUUUGGGAAAGGAGAAUGUUCCAGCCUCUGCAUGGCUGUCCCUUCAGAGCCCACCUUUGAUCCCCUCACAACCUGUGUUUCUGUCAGUAACCUCCCAUGGCAAGAUCUACCUCUCUGGGAAAUGCUGUAGGAGGUCGACCCACAGGUCUUUGCUGAUUCUCUGCUGGCAACACGAACAAGAUCAGCAUGGGGCUCACGAGGUCCCGAACUCUUCAUGAACAGCAAAGAACUCCAACACAAGUCACCAAUUCUGCAGAGGCCCAGAGCAACCCCAUCUCAGCUUUCCUGUUUGAUCCUGGGCUGUUGUGAUCCAACAACCAGUUGAGGAAGUUAAGGCUGCUGGUUUCCAGCCUGUGGCUUAGAGCUCCCCAUUUAUAAAUCCAGAACCAGUGGACUGGAGUGCAGUGACAUGGUGUACAUCCUGGAGGAAGACAGGGGAGGCAGGGCAGGAUCGUGCAGGAGGAGCAUCCACUCCCUUCCCCACCCACUCACACCACCCUGGGAGGCAGGUUGUACCAGUGAUGUCAAGGUAGUACUCCUUAAUGAUCACUGUGUUCCUGAAGUAGGGUUUGCUCCGAAAAGAAACUUAGUGGCAUGCAACGGGACCAGAGAUACCUCAGUUCCUACACCUGCCAGGACCAGGAGGAGGGAAAAUGUGCAAGUUUCUAGGGUCUGCAGCUUGCCUGCAGUGCAGGCAUCAACAGCUUCUGCCUCUCCACUCAAGUGCUCUCACCGCAUCAGAUGAUCCCACACUUCCCUGCCCAGCUCCCUACCUGUCCUCAUUCUCCCUCACUGACCUUCAAAUCCAUCAUGUAGCUAAGCAAGACUUCAUCUUGUUCACUGAUCAUGACGGAUGGUUGUUCACAAUCCGCUGCAGGUCAAGGAGCCAGUCAUGCCACGUGCCAGGCCAGGUAGAGCCACAAGCAACAGGGCUAGUCUGGGAUGGAACAAGUGAGAGGGUAAGAGGCAGAAAGCCUAGGGGCCUGCAAACGGAAGAAAGGGUCAGACAUUUUUUUAUCUUUCUCUUAAGCGGCAGCAGAAAACAAACUACAAGUGUCAGAAUUUUUUUUCCCUUCUAUAUACAAAAUUGAAAGGAGGUUUCCUUUAAAAUUCUGUGUCGCCUUGUUAAUGAACUAUGUAUUUACCCUAGACUCUGUCUGUCUUCAAAUUGGUUCCACCCAAGGCUCAGAACCAAAAAUGCCCCAAUAAACCAGUAUGUUUUACUCAUACAAUGGUUCUCCUAAUCUGUGUUAAUGAGACUAUGUAUUUGCUUGGAAACCUGCCUUUUUUCAAGAUUCAUGUCAGUUGUUUUAUGGCCCAGGAUGACUCAACUUGUGCCAAUGUUAUCUCGAUGCAUGUUGUGGGUGAGAGGCCUGGUGCCACUCUCUUAGGCUUGAGAUAUUUCCUUUCUCUAACUAUCAGACAGUAUCUGCUAAAGACUAGCAGAGGGGGCACUCUUUCUGCCGCCUUCUGAUGUCUAUGUCAUCAUAGAGAAGGCUUUCUCUAUCUCUUUUAUACUUUAAUAAAACUUGAUUACACAAGA